GGCGGAAUUUCUUCAUUUUUCUCUCUGACCAGUGCCUUGGAUUUGUAGCUUGACACUGAAGCAAGGUUAUUACAGUUGUGCCAAGUAUUGUCACUGUAGACUACACUAAUACAGAGAGAGAAUUAAAUGCUGUGGAUGUUCUUAGUGUUGCUGCUCAUGUCAAAAACUGUGUGAUGCUGAAACAUUCUAGAGACUUUGAUUUUCAGAACUGAAGACCGUCACCCAGUGUUUCUGACAUCUGGACCCGGGGAACAGGCUUAGUAAGGGGUGAGAAAGAAUUGUGUGACUUUCUCUCAAAACCUUGAGCUGAAUCAAAUGUACUUUUGUUGGGAGAUAUGACCAAAAUCGAGGUCAUCCGAAAAUGGCUGCCUAAAUAACAGUCUGCUCGAUUCCUGACAGAACUGACAAAUUCUUCCUCUG
rnacentral:lncRNA from 1 species